AGGAAGCUAGUCUAAAACAAGACCUCUGAUUUCGACUCAGAAAAUCAUGGUUUAAUUCCAUGACUUCCUU
rnacentral:tRNA from 1 species